GAGAGGUGGCUGAGUGGUUGAAAGCUUCAAAUUGCUAAUUUGACGUACAAAAUUUUGUACCAGGGGUUCGAAUCCC
rnacentral:tRNA from 12 species